GAGUUUGAUCGUGGCUCAGAUUGAACGCUGGCGGCAGGCCUAACACAUGCAAGUCGAGCGGAUGAAGGGAGCUUGCUCCUGGAUUCAGCGGCGGACGGGUGAGUAAUGCCUAGGAAUCUGCCUGGUAGUGGGGAUGACGUCCGGAAACGGGCGCUAAUACCGCAUACGUCCUGAGGGAGAAAGUGGGGGAUCUUCGGACCUCACGCUAUCAGAUGAGCCUAGGUCGGAUUAGCUAGUUGGUGGGGUAAAGGCCUACCAAGGCGACGAUCCGUAACUGGUCUGAGAGGAUGAUCAGUCACACUGGAACUGAGACACGGUCCAGACUCCUACGGGAGGCAGCAGUGGGGAAUAUUGGACAAUGGGCGAAAGCCUGAUCCAGCCAUGCCGCGUGUGUGAGAAGGUCUUCGGAUUGUAAAGCACUUUAAGUUGGGAGGAAGGGCAGUAAGUUAAUACCUUGCUGUUUUGACGUUACCAACAGAAUAAGCACCGGCUAACUUCGUGCCAGCCG
rnacentral:rRNA from 1 species